UCCUGGGCGAAGACAGCUGCGUCCGAACCGCCGAGCCGGACUGGGGGAGGGGCCAGGCCGCCCGCCCCGCAACGUUCCGGGCGAAACGGGCUGGGGGUUGGGGGGACUCACGGGCGCACUGCCGCUGCCACUCACCCUUCCACCCACGAACGACCCUUACCUCCGCACGAUCCGCCGCCAGGGCUUUAUGGCUAGGCAGGCUCAAGUGGCAGCGGGGUCCUUUACUUCUGUCCCAGGAAGUGCACAUGCUGAUGGAGCAGUUCCCGGCUGACUCGGACGCCCCCUGGGACAUGGUUUUGUAGACACUGGGAGUCACAUCUGCAAGCCCGAGAGAGGAGGGAGCGACGGGGGGCUAUCUAGGUGAGGCUAAAUUGGAUAAUGCCCAGACUUAAUGAGAAUGCGCAAGGUCAGGUUGGAGGCCACACAAGGUCACAGGAAGACUCACCAGCUGCCACGUAGUCAGUCACCAGUCCCUAGGCAUGUCACCUGAAGCCACAGGCAGCCACAUGGAAUCACAGAUGCCUCCUGAGGACACAGGCAGUGAUGGUUAUAAGUGUGUGGUACAUGAGAGCUCAAAUUCCUUAGCUAUAUGAUUAAUGGCUAUACAGCCACCAAGUUGCUGAUGGCAUUGGAAUCCCUCUGUCUGGGAACAAAAGGAGGAAGCUUGGUUCUGCGAUUUUCUAAAACAAUAAAGCUGCCACAGAAGAGCAGCUCUGAUUCCUCUCCACCACAAAGCUCUUCCUCUCUGCAGGCCCAGAAGCAGCCAAGCAACAGUGGACUGAGACCGCUGAGACCAUGAUUCAAGAUAAAACUUCAAGUUGAUAUUUCUCAGGCCCUUUGUCAGAGUGGCAGAACCUUGACUAACACACCAGCCACCCAAGUCGAGCAAAGGAUACUAGUUGCAGCAAUGGCUCUGAUUCUGUCAUGGGGUUGAUACCUGGAGGGUGACCUCUGCCCCUUGCUGUCUCCAUCGAUGCAAGUAGACACUGGCCUAGAGGCUUCUGGUACCAAGUAACAACUUGUUGCCCUUCCAUCAUCACAGACUCUCUGUCUACACCAGCCUCUGCCUACUCCUUGUCUGGUCUGCUAACGGCCAUGAGGAACAGCCUAAGAUGGAUGGCUUCAGAUGAUGCUGCGUGUAGAAUAUCUGAGCCAUAGCCCUUUGGUAUUUGUAAAUCUGAACCACGUUUUCAGCUCCACAGAUGGAACCCAGGGAUUCACAUGUGCUAGGCCAAAUGUUCUAUUACUAAGAAACACCCAUAGUCAUUCCUAUCCGUUUUGAGUGUACUUUGAUAAUUGCCUACAUGGUAAGUACCUCUUUCUGGUGGUACCCAGAAAACUCACUUUCCAAGCCUUCCUUGAAUCUAGGAAUGGGUAAGUGAAUUAGGCUGCGCCAAUGAGCUAUGUCUUCAUGAGCCUCUGAUCCAAACGUCAGGAAUGAGUGGGAGAAAAUCCUACCCAUGCCAUCCAUCUUGCUGGCAUCAGAAAAGUGGCAGAAGCAAUGGAUGGUGGGUGAUUGUGGGAGCUGUUCUUGGAAAUUUAAGACUUUUUUGAACCUCCCAUAAAUUCUAUGAGUUAUGUAACAA